rnacentral:misc_RNA from 1 species
UUUGAUAAAUCUAUCAUGUCUGCCAGUACCAUGCGCGUAGAGCAACUACAAAAUAACAGACUGCACCAACUACACGCGUGAUGUAUGUACCCUUGAAGCAGAUGAAAUCAGGGUACUCAUCAUCGUUCCCAUGGUAUCUCUAAGGGCAGCUCAUUGACCUGUUCCGGUAACUUUAAUUACUUGACUGUUGUUAUGGAAACUGAAGGCCGGAUUCUGAAUGAUGACCGUGAUGAUAGUACCACUGAACAGGAGACUCUAGGAACAGGUGUUAAGAAACCUAAAUCAUGUCAGAGCGGACUGAAGUGUGUGGAGUGUGGCAAAGAAUUCUCAACACCGAGUAACUGCCGGAAACAUAUGAAAAUUCACAGUGGAAUCAAGUCUAAUGUGUGUAGAGAGUGUGGGGAAAUCAUAUUCAACUUCAAGCGACCUGAAGAGACACUUGAUGACUCAUAGUGGAGUGAAGCCUUACCAGUGCAGUGAGUGUGAGAAAGCAUUUGGACAAUCAAGUGACUUAAAGACACACCUGAGGUGCCACAGUGGAGUCAAACCUUAUCAGUGUAAGGAAUGUGGGAAA